rnacentral:tRNA from 3 species
UGGCGAAUAGCUCAAUGGUAGAGCGCGGGUCUCAUAAGCCCGUCGGUGGUGGUUCAAUUCCACCCUUGCCAACCA